rnacentral:rRNA from 1 species
UACGAAGGGGACUAGCGUUGUUCGGAAUUACUGGGCGUAAAGCGCACGUAGGCGGAUUUGUAAGUCAGGGGUGAAAUCCCGGGGCUCAACCUCGGAACUGCCUUUGAUACUGCAAAUCUCGAGUCCGAUAGAGGUGGGUGGAAUUCCUAGUGUAGAGGUGAAAUUCGUAGAUAUUAGGAAGAACACCGGUGGCGAAGGCGGCCCACUGGAUCGGUACUGACGCUGAGGAGCGAAAGCGUGGGGAGCGAACAGG